rnacentral:lncRNA from 1 species
GUUUAAGGUUUUUUGCAUUAGGGUUAAAGUCACUGUCCAAAACCUUUGUAAGAACUCUUUUCCAACCUUUUGGAGUUGGUUACACCAACAAAAAUGUAAAAUGAAAAAAAUAUAUAUAUGGGGUGUUCGGGCUUCCUAAAGGUAAUACCCGGGUAUUAGAUUUUAAGGCUAGGGUAAGGUUUAAGUUUUAUGGCGUUAGGGUUAAAAUCACUGUCCAAAACAUUUGUAGGAACUCUUUUCCAACUGUUACGGCUGUGUGUUUGUUUUGCAUGUGUUUUCCUCUUUUGUCUCUCCAUAGCUGCCCAGGUGAAAUCACUUGAGUGACAAUCAGACUCACCUGGUGCUGGGAGUCUAAAAGCCCAGAGCUGCCUGCAGUCUGGAGAGGCAUUUGGUGGGGAACUGCUGCCCUGCUGCCUCUCAUUUGUGUUGUGGGUGCUUUGUGUUUAGUUUGCAAUUUUGUUGUUUUUUCACAAUAAAUCACGUGUUAAACUUUUGAAGGUGUUUUGGUUAAUUUGAUGGGUAAAAAGUUGAGGAUUGUUGUUAGCCCCAUAGGGCCGCCUAAGGGUGGGGUGUAACACCAACCUUUUGGAGUUGGUUACACCAACAAAAAUGUAAAAUGAAAAAAAAAUAUUAGGGGUGUUCGGGCUUCCUGAAGGUAAUACCCGGGUAUUAGGUUAUGGGGCUAUGGUAAGGUUUAAUGUUUUUGGCAUUAGGGUUAAAAUCACUGUCCAAAACCUUUGUAGGAACUCUUUUCCAACCUUUUGGAGUUAGUUAGACCAAAAAAAGAAUGAAAAAUGAAAAAAAAAUAUUUGGGGUUUCCGGGCUUCCUAAAAGUAAUACCCGGGUAUUAGAUUUUAAGGCAAGGGUAAGGUUUAAGUUUUAUGGCGUUAGGGUUGAAAUCACUGUCCAAAACCUUUGUAGGAACUCUUUUCCAACCUUUUGGAGUUAGUUAGACCAAAAAAUAUGAAAAAGGAAAAAAAAAUAUUUGGGGUUUUCGGGCUUCCUGAAGGUAAUACCCGGGUAUUAGGUUUUGGGGCUAGGGUAUGGUUUAAGUUUUCUGGCGUUAGGGUUAAAGUCACUGUCCAAAACCUUUGUAAGAACGCUUUUCCAACCUUUUGGAGUUGGUUACACCAACAAAAAUGUAAAAUGAAAAAAAAAAUAUAUGGGGUGUUCGGGCUUCCUAAAAGUAAUACCCGGGUAUUAGAUUUUAAGGCAAGGGUAAGGUUUAAGUUUUAUGGCGUUAGGGUUGAAAUCACUGUCCAAAACCUUUGUAGGAACUCUUUUCCAACCUUUUGGAGUUAGUUAGACCAAAAAAUAUGAAAAAGGAAAAAAAAAUAUUUGGGGUUUUCGGGCUUCCUGAAGGUAAUACCCGGGUAUUAGGUUUUGGGGCUAGGGUAUGGUUUAAGUUUUCUGGCGUUAGGGUUAAAAUCACUGUCCAAAACCUUUGUAGGAACUCUUUUCAAACCUUUUGGAGUUGGUUACACCAACAAAAAUGAAAAAUGAAAAAAAAAUAUUUGGGGUGUUCAGGCUUCCUAAAAGUAAUACCCCGGUAUUAGGUUUUGGGGCUAUGGUAAGGUUUAAGGUUUUUGGCGUUAGGGUUAAAAUCACUGUCCAAAACCUUUGUAGGAACUCUUUUCCAACCUUUUGGAGUUAGCUAGACCAAAAAAAAAAAAAAGAAAAAUGAAAAAAAAAAUGUUUGGGGUGUGAAGGCUUCCUUAAGUUAAUACCCGGGUGUUAGGUUCGGGAAUAGGGUAAGGUUGAAGGUUUUUGGCGUUAGGGUUAAAAUCACUGUCCAAAACCUUUGUAGGAACUCUUUUCCAACCUUUUGGAGUUAGUUAGACCAAAAAAAAAAAGAAAAAUGAAAAAAAAAAUAUUUGGGGUGUUCAGGCUUCCUAAAAGUAAUACCCGGGUAUUAGGUUAUGGGGCUAUGGUAAGGUUUAAGGUUUAUGGCAUUAGGGUUAAAAUCACUGUCCAAAACCUUUGUAGGAACUCUUUCCCAACCUUUUGGAGUUAGUUAGACCAAAAAAAAAAGAAAAAUGAAAAAAAAAUGUUUGGGGUUUUUGUGCUUCCUGAAUGUAAUACCCGGGUAUUAGAUUUUAAGGCCAGGGAAAGGUUUAAGUUUUAUGGCGUUAGGGUUAAAAUCACUGUCCAAAACCUUUGUAGGAACUCUUUUCGAACCUUUUGGAGUUAGUGAGACCAAAAAAAAAAUGAAAAAUGAAAAAAAAAUAUUUGGGGUGUUCGGGCUUCCUGAAGGUAAUACCCGGGUAUUAGGUUAUGGGGCUAUGGUAAGGUUUAAGGUUUUUGGCAUUAGGUUUAAAAUCACUGUCCAAAACCUUUGUAGGAACUCUUUCCAACCUUUUGGAGUUAGUUAGACCAAAAAAAGAAUGAAAAAUGAAAAAAAAAUAUUUGGGGUUUCCGGGCUUCCUUAAUGUAAUACCCGGGUAUUAGAUUUUAAGGCCAGGGUAAGGUUUAAGUUUUUUGGCAUUAGGGUUAAAAUUACUGUCCAAAACCUUUGUAGGAACUCUUUUCCAACCUUUUGGAGUUAGUUAGACCAAAAAAAAAAGAAAAAUGAAAAAAAAAUAUUUGGGGUGUUCAGGCUUCCUAAAAGUAAUACCCGGGUAUUAGGUUAUGGGGCUAUGGUAAGGUUUAAGGUUUUUGGCAUUAGGGUUAAAGUCACUGUCCAAAACCUUUGUAAGAACUCUUUUCCAACCUUUUGGAGUUGGUUACACCAACAAAAAUGUAAAAUGAAAAAAAAAAUAUAUGGGGUGUUCGGGCUUCCUAAAAGUAAUACCCGGGUAUUAGAUUUUAAGGCAAGGGUAAGGUUUAAGUUUUAUGGCGUUAGGGUUGAAAUCACUGUCCAAAACCUUUGUAGGAACUCUUUUCCAACCUUUUGGAGUUAGUUAGACCAACAAAAAUGAAAAAUGAAAAAAAAAUAUUUGGGGUGUUCGGGCUUCCUGAAGGUAAUACCCGGGUAUUAGGUUAUGGGGCUAUGGUAAGGUUUAAGGUUUUUGGCAUUAGGUUUAAAAUCACUGUCCAAAACCUUUGUAGGAACUCUUUUCCAACCUUUUGGAGUUAGUUAGACCAAAAAAAGAAUGAAAAAUGAAAAAAAAAUAUUUGGGGUUUCCGGGCUUCCUUAAUGUAAUACCCGGGUAUUAGAUUUUAAGGCCAGGGUAAGGUUUAAGUUUUUUGGCAUUAGGGUUAAAAUUACUGUCCAAAACCUUUGUAGGAACUCUUUUCCAACCUUUUGGAGUUAGUUAGACCAAAAAAAAAGAAAAAUGAAAAAAAAAUAUUUGGGGUGUUCAGGCUUCCUAAAAGUAAUACCCGGGUAUUAGGUUAUGGGGCUAUGGUAAGGUUUAAGGUUUUUGGCAUUAGGGUUAAAGUCACUGUCCAAAACCUUUGUAAGAACUCUUUUCCAACCUUUUGGAGUUGGUUACACCAACAAAAAUGUAAAAUGAAAAAAAAAAUAUAUGGGGUGUUCGGGCUUCCUAAAAGUAAUACCCGGGUAUUAGAUUUUAAGGCAAGGGUAAGGUUUAAGUUUUAUGGCGUUAGGGUUGAAAUCACUGUCCAAAACCUUUGUAGGAACUCUUUUCCAACCUUUUGGAGUUAGUUAGACCAAAAAAUAUGAAAAAGGAAAAAAAAAUAUUUGGGGUUUUCGGGCUUCCUGAAGGUAAUACCCGGGUAUUAGGUUUUGGGGCUAGGGUAUGGUUUAAGUUUUCUGGCGUUAGGGUUAAAGUCACUGUCCAAAACCUUUGUAAGAACGCUUUUCCAACCUUUUGGAGUUGGUUACACCAACAAAAAUGUAAAAUGAAAAAAAAUAUAUAUGGGGUGUUCGGGCUUCCUAAAAGUAAUACCGGGGUAUUAGAUUUUAAGGCAAGGGUAAGGUUUAAGUUUUAUGGCGUUAGGGUUGAAAUCACUGUCCAAAACCUUUGUAGGAACUCUUUUCCAACCUUUUGGAGUUAGUUAGACCAAAAAAUAUGAAAAAGGAAAAAAAAAUAUUUGGGGUUUUCGGGCUUCCUGAAGGUAAUACCCGGGUAUUAGGUUUUGGGGCUAGGGUAUGGUUUAAGUUUUCUGGCGUUAGGGUUAAAAUCACUGUCCAAAACCUUUGUAGGAACUCUUUUCAAACCUUUUGGAGUUGGUUACACCAACAAAAAUGAAAAAUGAAAAAAAAAUAUUUGGGGUGUUCAGGCUUCCUAAAAGUAAUACCCCGGUAUUAGGUUUUGGGGCUAUGGUAAGGUUUAAGGUUUUUGGCGUUAGGGUUAAAAUCACUGUCCAAAACCUUUGUAGGAACUCUUUUCCAACCUUUUGGAGUUAGCUAGACCAAAAAAAAAAAAAAAGAAAAUGAAAAAAAAAAUGUUUGGGGUGUGAAGGCUUCCUUAAGUUAAUACCCGGGUGUUAGGUUCGGGAAUAGGGUAAGGUUGAAGGUUUUUGGCGUUAGGGUUAAAAUCACUGUCCAAAAUCUUUUUAGGAACAUGUUUCAGACCUUUUGGAGUUGGUUACACCAAAAAAAAUGUAAAAUGAAAAAAGAAAUUUGGGGGGUUUUCGGGCUUCCUGAAGGUAAUACCCAGGUAUUAGGUUAUGGGGCUAUGGUAAGGUUUAAGGUUUUUGGCGUUAGGGUUAAAAUCACUGUCCAAAACCUUUUUAGGAACAUGUUUCAGACCUUUUGGAGUUAGUUAGACCAAAAAAAAAAAAGAAACAAAAAAAAAAAAAUUUUGGGUGUUCAGGACUCCUGAAGGUUAUACAGGUAUUAUAUUAGGUUAUGGGGCUUGGGUAAGGUUUAAGGUUUUUGGCGUUAGGGUUAAAAUCACUGUCCAAAACCUUUGUAGGAACUCUUUUCCAACCUUUUGGAGUUAGUUAGACCAAAAAAAAAAAGAAAAAUGAAAAAAAAAAUAUUUGGGGUUUUCGGGCUUCCUGAAGGUAAUACCCGGGUAUUAGGUUUUGUGGCUAAGGAAAGGUUAAAGGUUUUUGGCAUUAGGGUUAAAAUCACUGUCCAAAACCUUUGUAGGAACUCUUUUCCAACCUUUUGGAAUUAGCUAGACCAAAAAAAAAAAAAAGAAAAAUGAAAAAAAAAAUGUUUGGGGUGUGAAGGCUUCCUUAAGUUAAUACCCGGGUGUUAGGUUCGGGAAUAGGGUAAGGUUGAAGGUUUUUGGCGUUAGGGUUAAAAUCACUGUCCAAAAUCUUUUUAGGAACAUGUUUCAGACCUUUUGGAGUUGGUUACACCAAAAAAAAUGUAAAAUGAAAAAAAAAAUUUGGGGGGUUUUCGGGCUUCCUGAAGGUAAUACCCAGGUAUUAGGUUAUGGGGCUAUGGUAAGGUUUAAGGUUUUUGGCGUUAGGGUUAAAAUCACUGUCCAAAACCUUUUUAGGAACAUGUUUCAGACCUUUUGGAGUUAGUUAGACCAAAAAAAAAAAAGAAAAAAAAAAAGUAUUUUGGGUGUUCAGGACUCCUGAAGGUUAUACAGGUAUUAUAUUAGGUUAUGGGGCUUGGGUAAGGUUUAAGGUUUUUGGCGUUAGGGUUAAAAUCACUGUCCAAAACCUUUGUAGGAACUCUUUUCCAACCUUUUGGAGUUAGUUAGACCAAAAAAAAAAAGAAAAAUGAAAAAAAAAUAUUUGGGGUUUUCGGGCUUCCUGAAGGUAAUACCCGGGUAUUAGGUUUUGUGGCUAAGGAAAGGUUAAAGGUUUUUGGCAUUAGGGUUAAAAUCACUGUCCAAAACCUUUGUAGGAACUCUUUUCCAACCUUUUGGAGUUAGUUAGACCAAAAAAAAAAAAGAAAAAUGAAAAAAAAAUAUUUGGGGUUUUCGGGCUUCCUGAAGGUAAUACCCGGGUAUUAAGUUUUGGGGCAAGGGUAAGGUUUAAGGUUUUUGGCGUUAGGGUUAAAAUCACUGUCCAAAACCUUAGUAGGAACUCUUUUCCAACCUUUUGGAGUUGGUUACACCAACAAAAAUGUAAAAUGAAAAAAAAUAUUUGGGGUUUUCGGGCUUCCUGAAUGUAAUACCCGGGUAUUAGAUUUUAAGGCCAGGGAAAGGUUUAAGUUUUAUGGCGUUAGGGUUGAAAUCACUGUCCAAAACCUUUGUAGGAACUCAUUUCCAAUUUUUUGGAGCUAGUUAGACCAAAAAAAAAUGAAAAAUGAAAAAAAACAUAUUUGGGGUUUUUCAGGCUUCCUAAAAGUAAUACCCCGGUAUUAGGUUAUGGGGCUAUGGUAAGGUUUAAGGUUUUUGGCGUUAGUGUUAAAAUCACUUUCCAAAACCUUUGUAGGAACUCUUUUCCAACCUUUUGGAGUUAGCUAGACCAAAAAAAUAUGAAAAAGGAAAAAAAUAUAUUUGGGGUUUUCGGGCUUCCUGAAGGUAAUACCCGGGUAUCAAGUUUUGGGGCAAGGGUAAGGUUUAAGGUUUUUGGCGUUAGGGUUAAAAUCACUGUCCAAAACCUUAGUAGGAACUCUUUUCCAACCUUUUGGAGUUGGUUACACCAACAAAAAUGUAAAAUGAAAAAAAAUAUUUGGGGUUUUCGGGCUUCCUGAAUGUAAUACCCGGGUAUUAGAUUUUAAGGCCAGGGAAAGGUUUAAGUUUUAUGGCGUUAGGGUUGAAAUCACUGUCCAAAACCUUUGUAGGAACUCAUUUCCAAUUUUUUGGAGCUAGUUAGACCAAAAAAAAAAGAAAAAUGAAAAAAAAUAUUUGGGGUGUUCAGGCUUCCUAAAUGUAAUACCCGGGUAUUAGGUUAUGGGGCUAUGGUAAGGUUUAAGGUUUUUGGCAUUAGGGUUAAAGUCACUGUCCAAAACCUUUGUAAGAACUCUUUUCCAACCUUUUGGAGUUGGUUACACCAACAAAAAUGUAAAAUGAAAAAAAAAAUAUAUGGGGUGUUCGGGCUUCCUGUGGUAAUACCCGGGUAUUAGAUUUAAAGGCUAGGGUAAGGUUUAAGCUUAAUGGCGUUAGGGUUAAAAUCACUGUCCAAAACCUUUGUAGGAACUCUUUUCCAACCUUUUGGAGUUAGUUAGACCAAAAAAAAAUGAAAAAUGAAAAAAAAAUAUUUGGGGUGUUCAGGCUUCCUAAAAGUAAUACCCCGGUAUUAGGUUAUGGGGCUAUGGUAAGGUUUAAAGUUUUUGGCAUUAGGUUUAAAAUCACUGUCCAAAACCUUUGUAGGAACUCUUUCCCAACCUUUUGGAGUUAGUUAGACCAAAAAAAAAAGAAAAAUGAAAAAAAAAUGUUUGGGGUUUUCGGGCUUCUUUAAUGUAAUACCCGGGUAUUAGAUUUUAAGGCCAGGGUAAGGUUUAAGUUUUUUGGCAUUAGGGUUAAAAUUACUGUCCAAUACCUUUGUAGGAACUCUUUUCCAACCUUUUGGAGUUAGUUAGACCAAAAAAAAAAAGAAAAAUGAAAAAAAAAUAUUUGGGGUGUUCAGGCUUCCUAAAAGUAAUACCCGGGUAUUAGAUUUUAAGGCCAGGGAAAGGUUUAAGUUUUUUGGCGUUAGGGUUAAAAUCACUGUCCAAAACCUUUGUAGGAACUCUUUUUCAACCUUUUGGAGUUACUUAGACCAAAAAAAUAUGAAAAAGGAAAAAAAAAUAUUUGGGGUUUUCGGUCUUCCUGUGGUAAUACCCGGGUAUUAGAUUUAAAGGCUAUGGUAAGGUUUAAGCUUAAUGGCGUUAGGGUUAAAAUCACUGUCCAAAACCUUUGUAGGAACUCUUUUCCAAACUUUUGGAGUUACUUAGACCAAAAAAAAAAAUGAAAAAAGAAAAAAAAAUUAUUGGGGGUUUUCGGGCUCCCUGAAAGUAAUACCCGGGUAUUAGGUUUUGGGACUAGGGAAAAGUUUAAGGUUUUUGGCGUUAGGGUUAAAAUCACUGUCCAAAACCUUUGUAGGAACUCUUUUCUAACCUUUUGGAGUUAGUUAGACCAAAAAAAAAUGAAAAAUGAAAAAAAAAUAUUUGGGGUGUUCAGGCUUCCUAAAAGUAAUACCCCACAAUUAGGUUUUGGGGCUAUGGUAAGGUUUAAGGUUUUUGGCAUUAGGUUUGAAAUUACUGUCCAAAACCUUUGUAGGAACUCUUUUCCAACCUUUUGGAGUUACUUAGACCAAAAAAAAAAUGUAAAAUGAAAAAAAAAUGUUGGGGGUUUUCGGGCUUCCUGAAGGUAAUACCCGGGUAUUAGGUUAUGGGGCUAUGGUAUGGUUUAAGGUUUUUGGCAUUAGGUUUAGAAUCACUGUCCAAAACCUUUGUAGGAACUCUUUUCCAACCUUUUGGAGUUACUUAGACCAAAAAAAAAAGAAAAAUGAAAAAAAAAUAUUUGGGGUGUUCAGGCUUCCUAAAAGUAAUACCCGGGUAUUAGGUUAUGGGGCUAUGGUAAGGUUUAAAGUUUUUGGCAUUAGGGUAAAAAUCACUGUCCAAAACCUUUGUAGGAACUCUUUUCCAACCUUUUGGAGUUAGUUAGACCAAAAAAAAAUGUAAAAUGAAAAAAAAAAAUUUGGGGUGUUCGGGGUUCCUGAAGGUAAUACCCGGGUAUUAGAUUUUAAGGCUAAGGUAAGGUUUAAGUUUUUUGGAGUUAGGGUUAAAAUCACUGUCCAAAACCUUUGUAGGAACUCUUUUCCAAACUUUUGGAGUUACUUAGACCAAAAAAAAAUGUAAAAUGAAAAAAAUAUAUAUUUGGGGUGUUCGGGCUUCCUGAAAGUAAUACCCGGGUAUUAGGUUAUGGGGCUAAGGUAAGGUUUAACGUUUUGGCGUUAGGUUUAAAAUCACUGUCCAAAACCUUUGUAGGAACUCUUUUCCAACCUUUUGGAGUUAGUUAGACCAAAAAAAGAAUGAAAAAUGAAAAAAAAUAUAUUUGGGGUUUCCGGGCUUCCUUAAUGAAGUAGUAUUAGAUUUUAAGGCCAGGGUAAGGUUUAAGUUUUUUGGCAUUAGGGUUAAAAUCACUGUCCAAAACCUUUGUAGGAACUCUUUUCCAACCUUUUGGAGUUAGUUAGACCAAAAAAAAAUGAAAAAUGAAAAAAAAAAUAUUUGGGUUUUACGGGCUUCCUGAAUGUAAUACCCGGGUGUUAGAUUUUAAGGCUAGGGUAAGGUUUAAGUUUUUUGGCGUAAGGGUUGAAAUCACUGUCCAAAACCUUUGUAGGAACUCUUUUCCAAUUUUUUGAAGCUAGUUAGACCAAAAAAAAAAAAAGAAAAAUGAAAAAAAUAUUUCGGGUGGUCAGGCUUCCUCAAAGUAAUACCCGGGUAUUAGGUUUUGGGGCUAUGGUAAGGUUUAAGUUUUUUGGCAUUAGGGUUAAAAUCACUGUCCGAAACCUUUGUAGGAACUCUUUUCCAACCUUUUGGAGUUAGUUAGACCAAAAAAAAAUGAAAAAUGAAAAAAAAAAUAUUUGGGUUUUACGGGCUUCCUGAAUGUAAUACCCAGGUAUUAGAUUUUAAGGCUAGGGUAAGGUUUAAGUUUUUUGGCGUUAGGUUUAAAAUCACUGUCCAAAACCUUUGUAGGAACUCUUUUCCAACCUUUCUGAGUUGGUUACACCAACAAAAAUGUAAAAUGAAAAAAAAAUAUUUGGGGUGUUCGGGCUUCCUGAAGGUAAUACCCGGGAAUUAGGUUAUGGGGCUAUGGUAAGGUUUAAGGUUUUUGGCGUUAGGGUUAAAAUCACUGUCCAAAACCUUUGUAGGAACUCUUUCCCAACCUUUUGGAGUUAGUAAGACCAAAAAAAAAUGAAAAAUGAAAAAAAAAUAUUUUGGGUUCAUGGGCUUCCUGAAUGUAAUAUCCAGGUAUUAGGUUUUGGGGCUAGGGUAAGGUUUAAGGUUUUUGACAUUAGGGUUAAAAUCACUGUCCAAAACCUUUGUAAGAACUCUUUUCCAACCUUUUGGAGUUGGUUACACCAACAAAAAUGUAAAAUGAAAAAAAAAAUAUAUGGGGUGUUCGGGCUUCCUGUGGUAAUACCCGGGUAUUAGAUUUAAAGGCUAGGGUAAGGUUUAAGCUUAAUGGCGUUAGGGUUAAAAUCACUGUCCAAAACCUUUGUAGGAACUCUUUUCCAACCUUUUGGAGUUAGUUAGACCAAAAAAAAAUGAAAAAUGAAAAAAAAAUAUUUGGGGUGUUCAGGCUUCCUAAAAGUAAUACCCCGGUAUUAGGUUAUGGGGCUAUGUUAAGGUUUAAAGUUUUUGGCAUUAGGUUUAAAAUCACUGUCCAAAACCUUUGUAGGAACUCUUUCCCAACCUUUUGGAGUUAGUUAGACCAAAAAAAAAAUGAAAAAUGAAAAAAAAAUAUUUGGGGUUUCCGGGCUUCCUUAAUGUAGUAGUAUUAGAUUUUAAGGCCAGGGUAAGGUUUAAGUUUUUUGGCGUUAGGGUUAAAAUCACUGUCCAAAACCUUUGUAGGAACUCUUUUCCAACCUUUUGGAGUUAGUUAGACCAAAAAAAAAAUGAAAAAUGAAAAAAAAAUAUUUUGGGUUCACGGGCUUCCUGAAUGUAAUACCCAGGUAUUAGAUUUUAAGGCUAGGGUAAGUUUUAAGUUUUUUGGCGUUAGGGUUAAAAUCACUGUCCAAAACCUUUGUAGGAACUCUUUUCCAACCUUUCUGAGUUGGUUACACCAACAAAAAUGUAAAAUGAAAAAAAAAUAUUUGGGGUGUUCGGGCUUCCUGAAGGUAAUACCCGGGAAUUAGGUUAUGGGGCUAUGGUAAGGUUUAAGGUUUUUGGCGUUAGGUUUAAAAUCACUGUCCAAAACCUUUGUAGGAACUCUUUUCCAACCUUUUGGAGUUAGUUAGACCAAAAAAAAAUGAAAAAUGAAAAAAAAAUAUUUUGGGUUCAUGGGCUUCCUGAAUGUAAUAUCCAGGUAUUAGGUUUUGGGGCUAGGGUAAGGUUUAAGGUUUUUGACAUUAGGGUUAAAAUCACUGUCCAAAACCUUUGUAAGAACUCUUUUCCAACCUUUUGGAGUUGGUUACACCAACAAAAAUGUAAAAUGAAAAAAAAAAUAUAUGGGGUGUUCGGUCUUCCUGUGGUAAUACCCGGGUAUUAGAUUUAAAGGCUAGGGUAAGGUUUAAGCUUAAUGGCGUUAGGGUUAAAAUCACUGUCCAAAACCUUUGUAGGAACUCUUUUCCAACCUUUUGGAGUUAGUUAGACCAAAAAAAAAUGAAAAAUGAAAAAAAAAUAUUUGGGGUGUUCAGGCUUCCUAAAAGUAAUACCCCGGUAUUAGGUUAUGGGGCUAUGGUAAGGUUUAAAGUUUUUGGCAUUAGGUUUAAAAUCACUGUCCAAAACCUUUGUAGGAACUCUUUCCCAACCUUUUGGAGUUAGUUAGACCAAAAAAAAAAUGAAAAAUGAAAAAAAAAUGUUUGGGGUUUUCGGGCUUCCUUAAUGUAAUACCCGGGUAUUAGAUUUUAAGGCCAGGGUAAGGUUUAAGUUUUUUGGCGUUAGGGUUAAAAUCACUGUCCAAAACCUUUGUAGGAACUCUUUUCCAACCUUUUGGAGUUACUUAGACCAAAAAAAUAUGAAAAAGGAAAAAAAAAUAUUUGGGGUUUUCGGUCUUCCUGUGGUAAUACCCGGGUAUUAGAUUUAAAGGCUAUGGUAAGGUUUAAGCUUAAUGGCGUUAGGGUUAAAAUCACUGUCCAAAACCUUUGUAGGAACUCUUUUCCAAACUUUUGGAGUUACUUAGACCAAAAAAAAAAAUGAAAAAAGAAAAAAAAAUUAUUGGGGGUUUUCGGGCUCCCUGAAAGUAAUACCCGGGUAUUAGGUUUUGGGACUAGGGAAAAGUUUAAGGUUUUUGGCGUUAGGGUUAAAAUCACUGUCCAAAACCUUUGUAGGAACUCUUUUCUAACCUUUUGGAGUUAGUUAGACCAAAAAAAAAUGAAAAAUGAAAAAAAAAUAUUUGGGGUGUUCAGGCUUCCUAAAAGUAAUACCCCGGUAUUAGGUUAUGGGGCUAUGGUAUGGUUUAAGGUUUUUGGCAUUAGGUUUAAAAUCACUGUCCAAAACCUUUGUAGGAACUCUUUUCCAACCUUUUGGAGUUACUUAGACCAAAAAAAAAUGUAAAAUGAAAAAAAAAUGUUGGGGGUUUUCGGGCUUCCUGAAGGUAAUACCCGGGUAUUAGGUUAUGGGGCUAUGGUAUGGUUUAAGGUUUUUGGCAUUAGGUUUAAAAUCACUGUCCAAAACCUUUGUAGGAACUCUUUUCCAACCUUUUGGAGUUACUUAGACCAAAAAAAAAAGAAAAAUGAAAAAAAAAUAUUUGGGGUGUUCAGGCUUCCUAAAAGUAAUACCCGGGUAUUAGGUUAUGGGGCUAUGGUAAGGUUUAAAGUUUUUGGCAUUAGGGUUAAAAUCACUGUCCAAAACCUUUGUAGGAACUCUUUCCCAACCUUUUGGAGUUAGUUAGACCAAAAAAAAUGUAAAAUGAAAAAAAAAUGUUGGGGGUUUUCGGGCUUCCUGAAGGUAAUACCCGGGUAUUAGGUUAUGGGGCUAUGGUAAGGUUUAAAGUUUUUGGCAUUAGGGUUAAAAUCACUGUCCAAAACCUUUGUAGGAACUCUUUUCCAACCUUUUGGAGUUAGUUAGACCAAAAAAAAAUGAAAAAUGAAAAAAAAAUGUUUGGGGUUUUCGGGCUUCCUGAAUGUAAUACCCGGGUAUUAGAUUUUAAGGCUAGGGUAAGGUUUAAGUUUUAUGGCGUUAGGGUUAAAAUCACUGUCCAAAACCUUUGUAGGAACUCUUUUCCUACCUUUUGGAGUUAGUUAGACCAAAAAAAAAUGAAAAAUGAAAAAAAAAUAUUUGGGGUGUUCAGGCUUCCUAAAAGUAAUACCCCGGUAUUAGGUUUUGGGGCUAUGGUAAGGUUUAAGGUUUUUGGCGUUAGGGUUAAAAUCACUGUCCAAAACCUUUGUAGGAACUCUUUUCCAACCUUUUGGAGUUAGUUAGACAAAAAAAGAAUGAAAAAUGAAAAAAAAAUUUUGGCGUUUUCCGGGCUUCCUUAAUGUAAUACCCGGGUAUUAGAUUUUAAGGCCAGGGUAAGGUUUAAGUUUUUUGGCAUUAGGGUUAAAAUCCCUGUUCAAAACCUUUUUAGGAACUCUUUUCCAACCUUUUGGAGUUGGUUUCACCAACAAAAAUGUAAAAUGAAAAAAAAAUAUUUGGGGUUUUCCGGCUUCCUGAAUGUAAUACCCGGGUAUUAGAUUUUAAGGCCAGGGUAAGGUUUAAGUUUUUUGGCAUUAGGGUUAAAAUCCCUGUUCAAAACCUUUUUAGGAACUCUUUUCCAACCUUUUGGAGUUGGUUUCACCAACAAAAAUGUAAAAUGAAAAAAAGAAUAUUUGGGGUUUUCCGGCUUCCUAAAUGUAAUACCCGGGUAUUAGAUUUUAAGGCUAGGGUAAGGUUUAAGUUUUUUGGUGUUAGGGUUGAAAUCACUGUCCAAAACCUUUGUAGGAACUCUUUUCCAAUUUUUUGGAGCUAGUUAGACCAAAAAAAAAAGAAAAAUAAAAAAAAAUAUUUCGGGUGGUCAGGCUUCCUCAAAGUAAUACCCGGGUAUUAGGUUUUGGGGUUAGGGAAAGGUCUAAGGUUUUUGGCGUUAGGGUUAAAAUCACUGUCCAAAACCUUUGUAGGAACUCUUUUCCAACCUUUUGGAGUUGGUUACACUAACAAAAAUGUAAAAUGAAAAAAAAAUAUUUGGUGUGUUCGGGCUUCCUGAAGGUAAUACCCGGGUAUUAGAUUUUAAGGCUAGGGUAAGGUUUAAGUUUUUUGGAGUUAGGGUUAAAAUCACUGUCCAAAACCUUUGUAGGAACUCUUUUCCAACCUUUUGGAGUUGGUUACACCAACAAAAAUGUAAAAUAAAAAAAAUAUAUAUUUGGGGUGUUCGGGCUUCCUGAAAGUAAUACCCGGGUAUUAGGUUAUGGGGCUAAGGUAAGGUUUAACGUUUUGGCGUUAGGUUUAAAAUCACUGUCCAAAACCUUUGUAGGAACUCUUUUCCAACCUUUUGGAGUUAGUUAGACCAAAAAAAGAAUGAAAAAUGAAAAAAAAUAUAUUUGGGGUUUCCGGGCUUCCUUAAUUAAGUAGUAUUAGAUUUUAAGGCCAGGGUAAGGUUUAAGUUUUUUGGCAUUAGGGUUAAAAUCACUGUCCAAAACCU